rnacentral:rRNA from 1 species
GAUGAACGCUAGCGGGAGGCCUAACACAUGCAAGCCGAGCGGUAUUGUUUCUUCGGAAAUGAGAGAGCGGCGUACGGGUGCGUAACACGUGUGCGACCUGCCUUUAUCUGGGGGAUAGCCUUUCGAAAGGAAGAUUAAUACUCCAUAAUAUAUUGAACGGCAUCGUUUAAUAUUGAAAGCUCCGGCGGAUAGAGAUGGGCACGCGCAAGAUUAGCUAGUUGGUGAGGUAACGGCUCACCAAGGCGAUGAUCUUUAGGGGGCCUGAGAGGUGUGAUCCCCCACACUGGUACUGAGACACGGACCAGACUCCUACGGGAGGCAGCAGUGAGGAAUAUUGGUCAAUGGGUGCAAGCCUGAACCAGCCAUCCCGCGUGAAGGACGACUGCCCUAUGGGUUGUAAACUUCUUUUGUAUAGGGAUAAACCUACCCUCGUGAGGGUAGCUGAAGGUACUAUACGAAUAAGCACCGGCUAACUCCGUGCCAGCAGCCGCCGCCG